CGCGUAGGUGGUUUGUUAAGUUGGAUGUGAAAGCCCCCGGGCUCAACCUGGGAACUGCAUCCAAAACUGGCAAGCUAGAGUACGGUAGAGGGUGGUGGAAUUUCCUGUGUAGCGGUGAAAUGCGUAGAUAUUAGGAGGAACACCAGUGGCGAAGGCGGCUUACUGGACGGUAACUGACGUUGAGGCUCGAAAGCGUGGGGAGCAAAC
rnacentral:rRNA from 1 species